AUUGAACGCUGGCGGCAGGCCUAACACAUGCAAGUCAAGCGGUAGAGAGAAGCUUGCUUCUCUUGAGAGCGGCGGACGGGUGAGUAAUGCCUAGGAAUCUGCCUGGUAGUGGGGGAUAACGUUCGGAAACGGACGCUAAUACCGCAUACGUCCUACGGGAGAAAGCAGGGGACCUUCGGGCCUUGCGCUAUCAGAUGAGCCUAGGUCGGAUUAGCUAGUUGGUGGGGUAAUGGCUCACCAAGGCGACGAUCCGUAACUGGUCUGAGAGGAUGAUCAGUCACACUGGAACUGAGACACGGUCCAGACUCCUACGGGAGGCAGCAGUGGGGAAUAUUGGACAAUGGGCGAAAGCCUGAUCCAGCCAUGCCGCGUGUGUGAAGAAGGUCUUCGGAUUGUAAAGCACUUUAAGUUGGGAGGAAGGGCAGUAAAUUAAUACUUUGCUGUUUUGACGUUACCGACAGAAUAAGCACCGGCUAACUCUGUGCCAGCCGCCGCCGUAAUAC
rnacentral:rRNA from 1 species